rnacentral:rRNA from 1 species
UACGUAGGGUGCAAGCGUUGUCCGGAAUUAUUGGGCGUAAAGAGCUCGUAGGCGGUUUGUUGCGUCGGCUGUGAAAUCCCGAGGCUCAACCUCGGGUCUGCAGUCGAUACGAGCAAACUAGAGUGUUGCAGGGGAGACUGGAAUUCCUGGUGUAGCGGUGGAAUGCGCAGAUAUCAGGAGGAACACCGAUGGCGAAGGCAGAUCUCUGGGCCGUAACCGACGCUGAGGAGCGAAAGCGUGGGGAGCGAACAGG